AGAGUUUGAUCCUGGCUCAGGAUGAACGCUGGCGGCGUGCCUAAUACAUGCAAGUCGAGCGAACGGACGAGAAGCUUGCUUCUCUGAUGUUAGCGGCGGACGGGUGAGUAACACGUGGAUAACCUACCUAUAAGACUGGGAUAACUUCGGGAAACCGUAGCUAAUACCGGAUGAUAUUUUGAACCGCAUGGUUCAAAAGUGAAAGACGGUCUUGCUGUCACUUAUAGAUGGAUCCGCGCUGCAUUAGCUAGUUGGUAAGGUAACGGCUUACCAAGGCAACGAUGCAUAGCCGACCUGAGAGGGUGAUCGGCCACACUGGAACUGAGACACGGUCCAGACUCCUACGGGAGGCAGCAGUAGGGAAUCUUCCGCAAUGGGCGAAAGCCUGACGGAGCAACGCCGCGUGAGUGAUGAAGGUCUUCGGAUCGUAAAACUCUGUUAUUAGGGAAGAACAUAUGUGUAAGUAACUGUGCACAUCUUGACGGUACCUAAUCAGAAAGCCACGGCUAACUACGUGCCAGCAGCCGCGGUAAUACGUAGGUGGCAAGCGUUAUCCGGAAUUAUUGGGCGUAAAGCGCGCGUAGGCGGUUUUUUAAGUCUGAUGUGAAAGCCCACGGCUCAACCGUGGAGGGUCAUUGGAAACUGGAAAACUUGAGUGCAGAAGAGGAAAGUGGAAUUCCAUGUGUAGCGGUGAAAUGCGCAGAGAUAUGGAGGAACACCAGUGGCGAAGGCGACUUUCUGGUCUGUAACUGACGCUGAUGUGCGAAAGCGUGGGGAUCAAACAGGAUUAGAUACCCUGGUAGUCCACGCCGUAAACGAUGAGUGCUAAGUGUUAGGGGGUUUCCGCCCCUUAGUGCUGCAGCUAACGCAUUAAGCACUCCGCCUGGGGAGUACGACCGCAAGGUUGAAACUCAAAGGAAUUGACGGGGACCCGCACAAGCGGUGGAGCAUGUGGUUUAAUUCGAAGCAACGCGAAGAACCUUACCAAAUCUUGACAUCCUUUGACAACUCUAGAGAUAGAGC
rnacentral:rRNA from 1 species